rnacentral:rRNA from 1 species
GACGGGGGGGGCAAGUGUUCUUCGGAAUGACUGGGCGUAAAGGGCACGUAGGCGGUGAAUCGGGUUGAAAGUGAAAGUCGCCAAAAAGUGGCGGAAUGCUCUCGAAACCAAUUCACUUGAGUGAGACAGAGGAGAGUGGAAUUUCGUGUGUAGCGGUGAAAUGCGCAGAUAUCAGGAGGAACACCGAUGGCGAAGGCAGGUCUCUGGGCCACUACUGACGCUGAGAAGCGAAAGCGUGGGGAGCGAACAGG